rnacentral:rRNA from 1 species
AUACGUAGGGGGCGAGCGUUAUCCGGAAUUAUUGGGCGUAAAGCGCGCGCAGGCGGCCGAUUAAGUCAGGUGUGAAAGGCUGCGGCUCAACCGCAGAGCGGCACCUGAAACUGGUCGGCUUGAGUGCAGGAGAGGGGAGCGGAAUUCCCGGUGUAGCGGUGGAAUGCGUAGAGAUCGGGAGGAACACCAGUGGCGAAGGCGGCUCUCUGGCCUGUAACUGACGCUGAGGCGCGAAAGCGUGGGGAGCAAACAGGAUUAGAUACCCUGGUAGUCCACGCCGUAAACGAUGAGUGCUAGGUGUUGGGGGGGCUACGCCCCUCAGUGCCGAAGGUAACCCAUUAAGCACUCCGCCUGGGGAGUACGGCCGCAAGGCUGAA